rnacentral:misc_RNA from 1 species
CAGCCCUUUGAGCUUCCUCCAUUGAGA